CGGGUAGAGUAACGCGUGAGCAACCUGCCUAUGACAGUGGGAUAGCCUCGGGAAACCGGGAUUAAUACCGCAUAAAAUACGUAGAAACACAUGUUUCAACGGUCAAAGAUUUAUCGGUCAUAGAUGGGCUCGCGUCUGAUUAGCUAGUUGGUGAGAUAACAGCCCACCAAGGCGACGAUCAGUAGCCGGUCUGAGAGGAUGAACGGCCACAUUGGAACUGAGACACGGUCCAAACUCCUACGGGAGGCAGCAGAU
rnacentral:rRNA from 1 species